GUUCCAGCCAAAGUAAAGAGAGAUAUUUAUAAACUGGGCAACUUCUACGUCAUCAGUUGCAGGAUGACGUGUGCUUCCAGUUUUCCCAUUAGUCCAUAUUGCAUUCUUUUUUGGCAGGCACCCUAUAAAAGGACCACCCAGGUCCCCAACCAUAACCAUCACAGACCUUUGGCUUGUCUGCUUUGCUUCUUCAUUUCCCAGAGUUUGGAGAUCUGAUCCAUCAUACACCAUGAGGGCUCUCUACCUUGCCGUGGUUAUCAUGAUGUUGCUUGCCACUGCUAUGAAUGUUGAAGGAUUUAAAUAUAAGCCAAGCUGUUCUGUAGAUGGAGGCCGAUGUGCCAAAUAUUGUGAGAAGACUGAAUAUGCCUCCUAUGUCCAUAAUUGCCCUCUCUGCUGUUUUAAGUACAAGAAGGAUGACUAAAAAGGGAGGAUGCCGCUGAGAUGGGCCAAGAGGAUGUGACCCAUUGCUUAGCUACCAAGAAGGCAUCAUGUUUGAUCUCCUUCAAUAAAUGCAAGAAGAAAAAUGCUCA